GAGCAUGUUUAGAAUAUUGAAAACUGCUAAUUUUCAUAACCCCGGUUCAAUUCCGUGGCCUGCUCG
rnacentral:tRNA from 1 species